rnacentral:rRNA from 1 species
AUACGGAGGAUCCGAGCGUUAUCCGGAUUUCUUGGGUUUAAAGGGAGCGCAGGCGGAGAUGCAAGCGUGACGUCAAAUUUCGGGGCUCAACCCCGUCUCGCGUCGCGAACUGCGUCCCUUGGUUGCGGGAAGGGGAGGCGGAACUCGUGGUGUAGCGGUGAAAUGCAUAGAUAUCACGAAUAAAUCCGAUCGCGAAGGCAGCCUUCCGGCCCGUCAACGACGCUCAUGCUCGAAGGUGCGGGUAUCAAACAGGAUUAGAUUCCCUGGUAGUCCGCACAGUAAACGAUGGACGCCCGCGGUUUGGCCUGUAUGGCUGAGCCGCCAAGCGAAAGCGUUAAGUGUCCCCCCUGGGGAGUACGCCGGCAACGGUGAAACUCAAAUGAAUUGACGGGG